rnacentral:rRNA from 1 species
AGGGCACCACCAGGAGUGGAGCCUGCGGCUUAAUUUGACUCAACACGGGGAAACUCACCCGGCCAGGACACAAUAAGGAUUGACAGAUUGAUAGCUCUUUCUUGAUUUUGUGGGUGGUGGUGCAUGGCCGUUCUUAGUUGGUGGAGCGAUUUGUCUGGUUAAUUCCGAUAACGAACGAGACUCUAGCCUAUUAAAUAGACGAUAUAUUAUUAGUUUAUCGAGCUUCUUAGAGGGACAGGCAGCUUCUAGCUGCACGAGAUUGAGCAAUAACAGGUCUGUGAUGCCCUUAGAUGUCCGGGGCUGCACGCGCGCUACAAUGAUAACAGCAGCGUGCAUUAAAACCUUUUCUGGUAAGAAUUGGUAAACACGAAAUAUUGUCGUGCUUGGGAUAGGGGAUUGAAAUUAUUGCCCUUAAACGAGGAAUUCCCAGUAAGUGCGAGUCAUUAGCUUGCGUUGAUUACGUCCCUGCCCUUUGUACACACCGCCCGUCGCUACUACCGAUUGGAAGAUUUAGUGAAU